rnacentral:rRNA from 1 species
UACGUAGGGUGCAAGCGUUGUCCGGAAUUAUUGGGCGUAAAGAGCUCGUAGGCGGUUCGUCGCGUCGGCUGUGAAAUCCCGAGGCUCAACCUCGGGUCUGCAGUCGAUACGGGCGGACUGGAGUUCGGCAGGGGAGACUGGAAUUCCUGGUGUAGCGGUGAAAUGCGCAGAUAUCAGGAGGAACACCGGUGGCGAAGGCGGGUCUCUGG